rnacentral:rRNA from 1 species
UCCGUAGGCGGUGCGGCAAGUCGGGAGUGAAAUCUCUGGGCUUAACCCAGAGGCUGCUUCCGAAACUGCCGCGCUAGAGUGUGAGAGAGGCGAGCGGAAUUGCGGGUGUAGCGGUGAAAUGCGUAGAUAUCCGCAGGAACAUCCGAGGCGAAGGCGGCUCGCUGGAUCACAACUGACGCUGAGGGACGAAAGCUAGGGGAGCAAACAGGAUUAGAUACCCUGGUAGUCCUAGCCCUAAACCAUCAGGACUUGGGGUUUGCCCUGUACGGGGCAAGUCCCGUAGCUAACGCGUUAAGUCCUGCGCCUGGGGAGUACGGUCGCAAGGCUGAA